AUUGAACGCUGGCGGCAGGCCUAACACAUGCAAGUCGAACGGUAGCACAGAGAGCUUGCUCUCGGGUGACGAGUGGCGGACGGGUGAGUAACGUCUGGGAAACUGCCCGAUGGAGGGGGAUAACUACUGGAAACGGUAGCUAAUACCGCAUAACGUCGCAAGACCAAAGUGGGGGACCUUCGGGCCUCACACCAUCGGAUGUGCCCAGAUGGGAUUAGCUAGUAGGUGGGGUAAUGGCUCACCUAGGCGACGAUCCCUAGCUGGUCUGAGAGGAUGAACAGCAACACUGGACCUGAGACACGGUCCAGACUCCGACGGGAGUCAGCAGUGGGGAAUAUUGCACGAUGGGCGCAAGCCUGAUGCAGCCAUGCCGCGUGUAUGAAGAAGGCCUUCGGGUUGUAAAGUACUUUCGGCGGGGAGGAAGGCGGUGAGGUUAAUAACCUUGCCGAUUGACGUUACCCGCAGAAGAAGCACCGGCUAACUCCGUGCCAGCAGCCGCCGUAA
rnacentral:rRNA from 1 species